rnacentral:rRNA from 1 species
GCAAAAGCUCAAAUUUGAAAUCCCCCGGGAAUUGUAAUUUGAAGAGAUUUGGGUCCGGCCGGCAGGGGUUAAGUCCACUGGAAAGUGGCGCCACAGAGGGUGACAGCCCCGUGAACCCCUUUAACGCCCUCAUCCCAGAUCUCCAAGAGUCGAGUUGUUUGGGAAUGCAGCUCUAAGUGGGUGGUAAAUUCCAUCUAAAGCUAAAUACCGGCGAGAGACCGAUAGCGAACAAGUACAGUGAUGGAAAGAUGAAAAGCACUUUGAAAAGAGAGUGAAAAAGUACGUGAAAUUGUUGAAAGGGAAGGGCUUGCAAGCAGACACUUAACUGGGCCAGCAUCGGGGCGGCGGGAAGCAAAACCACCGGGGAAUGUACCUUUCGAGGAUUAUAACCCCGGUCUCUACUCCCUUGCUGCCCCGAGGCCUGCAAUCUAAGGAUGCUGGCGUAAUGGUUGCAAGUCGCCCGUCUU